GUAACCUGCCUUGGAGUGGGGAAGUAACAGCUGGAAACAGCUGCUAAUACCGCAUAAUAUAUCUGGGUCGCAUGGCUCUGGAUAUCAAAGAUUUAUCGCUCUGAGAUGGACUCGCGUCUGAUUAGCUGGUUGGCGGGGUAACGGCCCACCAAGGCGACGAUCAGUAGCCGGACUGAGAGGUUGGCCGGCCACAUUGGGACUGAGACACGGCCCAGACUCCUACGGAAGGCAGCAG
rnacentral:rRNA from 1 species